AGUAUCAGGUUGUAGAUUGUUUGUAAUCCUGUAUUGCUGGGUAUAAAAAGGUCUUAUCAUUUGGAUAUGCUGGGCUGUAGACUGCAGGUAAUCCUGCACUACUGAUAGCUACAUACUGGUUAAAAAGAGAACUAUCCAAGAAGAUUGAAAAGAAAAGCGCCACUGGAUUUAAG